AAACAAGAGAGGAAAGAAGCAACUGGCGGCUGCUCCGGGUUCUCUGCUCUUCCAGGCCAUGUGAGCUGCCAGUGUGGUGCAAGGAACAGAAAGAAGUGAGGUCCCUGGAAGAGCAGCAUGUGUCUCAACUAUUGAGCUAUCACAUCACUUCCGCUCCUCCAGCCUGGUGUUUGAGACAGGGUCUCUCAUUAGGACCCAGGACUUGCACGAUAGGCUAUGGUAGCUGCCUGGUGAACUCCAGGAACCCUCCUGUCUCUGCCUCCUCAGCUCUGGGAUUAAAAAUAUGUACCACUAUGCGCAAUAAAAAAAAAAACCCUACUUUUUGAAAGCAAGCUGAUCUCUGAGUUGGAGGCUAGCCUGGUCUACAGAGCGAGUUCCAGGACAGCCAGAGCUCCUGAAGCUGCAUCCUGGAACUCCCUUUCUUCAGUCCUGAAGAUCAAAUCCAGCCCUACAAGAAAAUGCUCUACCACUGUGCUACACCCUCAGGAUGUGUCCAUUUUCAGAGGCUACAUAAUGGAAACAGAUCAGAGUUCUCGGUCAUCAGGAAACGUGGGACGGCAUUCAAGGCAGGUGCUUCAGCUCAUACGUGUAGUCCCAGCCCAGGAAUCCAACACAGCAAGCAAGACCCCCAUCUCAGGAAAAUAAAAAAGUAUCCCACUGUUUCAGCUUGCUCUUGGUCUUAGUUGGGGUACCAUGAAGCAGCUGGAUGCGCAUCUCCUGGGAGGGCCUGUGGCAUGCUCACCCAUGCCCCUCUGCACAGCAGCAAUGCUAGAGGCCCCUUACUGGCACACCACGCAGCUGACCAGACUUCACAGUGAUUAAAUGUAACCCUAUCAGAUAGAAUCCAAAUGUUCUGCUAGAGAUUCCUGAUUUUACUUGGAGGAGAGGAGGAAGAUGAAAAGAUUUAAAAAAUACAUCUUAGCAAAGAAAUUUAUGAUAAUAUACAGCAUAUUUUGUUUCUUGGAAAAUUAUUUAA